rnacentral:rRNA from 1 species
UACAGAGGGUGCAAGCGUUAAUCGGAUUUACUGGGCGUAAAGGGCGCGUAGGUGGUAAGGCAAGUAAGAUGUGAAAGCCCUGGGCUUAACCUGGGAAGUGCAUCUUAAACUGCCUAACUAGAGUAUGGUAGAGGGUAGCGGAAUUUCCGGUGUAGCGGUGAAAUGCGUAGAGAUCGGAAGGAACGCCAGUGGUGAAGACGGCUACCUGGACCAAUACUGACACUGAGGCGCGAAAGCGUGGGGAGCAAACAGG